rnacentral:rRNA from 1 species
UACAGAGGUCUCGAGCGUUAGGCGGAAUCACUGGGCUUAAAGCGUGUGUAGGCGGAUCGUUAAGUGCCUUGUGAAAUCCCACGGCUCAACCGUGGAACUGCUUGGCAUACUGGCGGUCUUGAGCAAACUAGGGGCGAGCGGAACAAAUGGUGGAGCGGUGAAAUGCGUAGAUAUCAUUUGGAACGCCAAUGGUGAAAACAGCUCGCUGGGGGUUUGCUGACGCUGAGACACGAAAGCCAGGGGAGCAAACGGG